rnacentral:rRNA from 1 species
CAGCCGCCGCGGUAAUACGUAGGGUGCAAGCGUUAAUCGGAAUUACUGGGCGUAAAGCGUGCGCAGGCGGUUAUGCAAGACAGAUGUGAAAUCCCCGGGCUCAACCUGGGAACUGCAUUUGUGACUGCAUGACUAGAGUACGGCAGAGGGGGAUGGAAUUCCGCGUGUAGCAGUGAAAUGCGUAGAUAUGCGGAGGAACACCGAUGGCGAAGGCAAUCCCCUGGGCCUGUACUGACGCUCAUGCACGAAAGCGUGGGGAGCAAACAGGAUUAGAUACCCCAGUAGUCCCUGUCUCUUAUAC